GAGUAUUGGUUACCAGCAAAUUUGGAUUCCCUUUUACACUGACUGCAAAUGCAUAACAAAGCAUCCUGCAAGGUUAUUAAUUCACAAUAGCCAUGUUACCAUUUUGUGCUUCACGUUAGAGAAGGAAGAGAAUCCUGCAGGUAUUCUGCAGGUAUCACAGUUUCUGUUCGGAAGUUAUCCAGGUGUUUCUGCUGGCAUUUUUCCUUGUGGACAUAGACAUAAAUUCCAGAAGAUUAUGUGGCUUUUCCAAGCCUGCCAUGUGGCAUGUGGGCACAGUUCAAGCUCCAUGUAAGGCCUUGCACCUAAACCUCUUGGCCAGAUGCAGUAGAGCUACUGAAGAUCAGAGCCAGUGUAGCGUAUUGCCUGAUGGUCUCUUCAUUAGAAGUAUGAAAACACGACGAUGUCUUGCUAAUGAACUUGUCAGCACUUGCAACUUCUCAGAUUCCAUUCUGAGAGACUGUAACAAAGCAGAAGCUGGUAAAAAAAAAAAAAAGUGAAGCACACCAAACACCAAGAACUUCACUGGAGAUUGAGAACACUGCCAUUUCUAAAUGGAGAGGAGCCAGAAUCCUGCAGGAUCAGACCCAUCAGUCACAGGAAGAGAGAUAUAACUGCUUUGGGAGAAGGAAGAUUGCAUUUCUUCAAUGACUGCAUUGUUUAGAAGAAGCUGUCAGUAUUGAUCAGCGGCUAAGACCAGCUGCAAGAAAACACUUUACACUUCCCACUUUAAAUGUGUGAAGACUAAGUAAUGUAAUAACCAGUUCUGGGUAACAGCUC